AUUGAACGCUGGCGGCAUGCCUUACACAUGCAAGUCGAACGGUAACAGGUCUUCGGACGCUGACGGGUGGCGAACGGGUGAGUAAUACAUCGGAACGUGCCCAGUCGUGGGGGAUAACUACUCGAAAGAGUAGCUAAUACCGCAUACGAUCUGAGGAUGAAAGCGGGGGACCUUCGGGCCUCGCGCGAUUGGAGCGGCCGAUGGCAGGUUAGGUAGUUGGGGGGAUAAAAGCUUACCAAGCCGACGAUCUGUAGCUGGUCUGAGAGGACGACCAGCCACACUGGGACUGAGACACGGCCCAGACACCUACGGGAGGCAGCAGUGGGGAAUGUUUGACAAUGAGCGAAAGCCUGUUCCAGCAAUGACGCGUGCAGGAUGAAGGCCUUCGGGUUGUAAACUGCUUUUGUACGGAAAGAAAAAGCUCCCUCUAAUACAGGGGGCCCAUGACGGUACCGUAAGAAUAAGCACCGGCUAACUACGUGCCAGCCGCCGCAGUAA
rnacentral:rRNA from 1 species